rnacentral:lncRNA from 1 species
AAUUCCAAUCUUAGGCAUAUACCCAAAAGAAGCACGUUCAUACAACAAGAAUAUCUGUUCAACAAUGUUCAUAGCAGCGCUAGUUGUAAUAGCCAGAAACUGGAAGCAACCUAGAUGCCCCUCAGCUGAAGAAUGGAUAGAGUAAAUGUGGUACAUUUACACAAUUGAGUACUACUCAGCAGAAAAAAACAAUGGAAUCUUGAAAUUUUCAGAAAAAUGCAUGGAACUACAAGAAACCAUUCUGAGCAAGCCUUCAUCCAGCAGCUGGUCGAAGUAGAAGCUACACCCACAACUAAUCACUGAACUGAACUGGAAUCCAGUUGCAGAGAAGAACGAGUGAUGGGCAAAGGUAUCCAUACCAGGCUGGUGAAACUCACAGAAACAGGUGACCUGAACAUCAUGGAGCUCUUGUUCCCCAGACUGAUAGCUGGGAUACCAGCAUGGGACUGAUCCAGACCCCAGGAACGUUGCCUCUUGCUGUUUGCAUCAAGUUUCCACCUCUGAAAAGUGAUUGGGGUAGCUGCAGUGCUGGGAAAAGAUUCUGGAGGCCUGAGCUUCUGGAGGGUCUUAAUUUGGGGGCUUGUCUGGGAUUUUCGACCACCCCUCACCUUAAAUGAUCUUGGAGAGAAUGACUUGGGACAGAAUCUACCAGGACAGACCCCUUCCCUUUGAAAAACAGAGACUUUCCUGCUGCAGUGGCUCCAGGUAGGAAGUUACAGCCUGGCAGAGGAUAGUACAUUCUGGCUCCUUGCAGCCAAGACAUACUUUGCCUAAGAGCAGCCUGCACUGCCAGCCUCCAGGUGGCCUAGGAGUGGUCACCAUGGCUUCUUGGGAGAGGCAAAAGCCUGCUAAAGGCAGGCAUUCAGAGCGGGCCAAUGGGG